AUGCAGGAUAAGUUACAAUGCAGCAGGUGCAGUACUGUAUUGUCGUUCCCCCUGCAAACAGCAUUCUGUUUCCUCGCUAUACCUGUCUGUCAACAUCCUUUGACAGUCAGGGACGUAAGGUUUCAGACAA
rnacentral:snoRNA from 1 species